rnacentral:tRNA from 1 species
GCCCUGAUAGUGUAGUGGCCUAUCAUGAAGCCCUGUCGAGGCUUCGACCCGGGUUCGAAUCCCGGUCAGGGCG